CAUCUGCAGCGAGGGCUGAAUCGCUCGAACUUAACCGGCACGGCAGCUUAACGCAAGGUGCCACGAGGAGGCGUUGAGGCCCAGGGGAAGAGACAGCGAGUCUGGUGCAGACGUUAUCCGCUCUCUCUCCUGAGUGCGGUACAGUAUAGAGGGACGGCAUCUCUCCUCCCGCCCUCGCCCCGCCCAAGAGCGUGGUGGCCAUACUUUGAUCUCCGACUCUGACUCCCUGCCUCGUGGCUGCUUGCGAAAUACUUGGCAUCUGGCGCAUCGUCUGCUCAUUUCUUGCUGUUGCUGCUGUGCGCUUUCUCCGUGGCGGCGGAGCGCGAUGCUGAAAGACCAGGAUCGCGGCAGACGGGCCAAGAGAAAGCACGCGCAGGCCUCUUCUUCUUUCGACCGCUGGCGUGAACAAACGCAGCGGCGUGGUGCUGACGCACACGGUAGCGGAGUGGAGUACCACUCUCACAUGGACGAUGGAGGCCACGUCGACCCGCAAAGCAUCGGCCGGGCUGCGCUGGGCCACCGCAGCAGCCACGCGCCGCUGCCUUGGUCGCCGUUGCCGUACCCUGUCCCCCCUCCGGGUCAGCACAGCCGCCUGGAAGAGUUAGAAGGGCUGUUGCUCACGCAAGGACACUACAACCAUCUUUUCCCAGCGGCCGCUGUAUGCGACGAGGUGGGCUGUAACGUCAUCAGCUUACCGCAGGUGACGCCCGCGAGCCGCACUCUGGAUAUGCCACCCAGCGAUGCGGCAUCUUCGUACUCGCACGGCGGCCUCGCAGACUCGCUCUGCGGUGCCGUGGACGGAAUGGCCAAGGAUGGCCGCCGCUCUGUCGCGAUGGGCGGGUCGUUGUUUCUCAGCACACCCCACCGCCACACUCAGGAGGUGAUGGGCCGCUGUGCGCUGCCGAACGGCGGCACCGAUGCGACGGGUGCCAUCAGCGCAGCCGAGUUAGAGGCAGAGCGGUAUAUUGCGCGUCUCGAGGAAGAGGUGCAGACGCUGAUGAUGGAGAUCUCUGACAAGGAUCGCUGCAUUGUCUUGAUGUCGGCUGCGAAGGAUGCGAUGGCGGUUCAGCUGCAGGAGCAGAUCACAAGAGGGAGCCUAAUCUCGGACGAGAGCGCCACGCGGCAGAUGCUGAGCUACAGCUUUAUGCGUACGGUGGCGUUCCAGAAGACACAAGAGGAGAGUAACCGGGCACUGGAGCUCAACACCCAAAUCUCCGUUCUCAAAUACGAGCUGAAGCUUGCAGAGACCAUGCUAGCGCAGUCGCAGAGCAGCGUCACCGCCGCGACAUCUCAACACCAACAGCAGCUGUUCAAAGAAAAGAAGGACGAGGACGAGCUCGCCCGCUCCUUAUCCACCACUUUACGGUCUCUCCUGCAGGACGAGUACGGCCGGCUCGCGCAGCUCGUGUCAGAGAUGCCAAGCAAGGUGCAGAUGAUAAUGUCCGCAAGCGGUAGCACGCCGAACGGCGAGGGCGACAAUGCCGCAAAGGAUGCGGCGGCACCCCAGCAGCGACGGCUGCACGAAUUGCUAGAGUCUCUGCUCGCCCCGUGCGGUGGUGCGGCAGCCUCGCCGGUCGGCGCAGCAUCAUCUGCCGCCUGUGCUUUGGCCAGCACCCCAUCGCCGUCGCCACCGGCGCUCAAGGACGCGGACUCGUCGCACCUUGUUCGCCUUGUCUCCCGCGUGUGCCGCCAUCACGCUGCCAUGACGGAUCUCUACUGCGCCGAGGCCGGCCGGAAGGCGGCGUUGGCGCAGUAUGAGGGCGACAUUGUGCGCCUCAUCAGUGCCAAGCAAAGCGCGCUUACCUGGGCGGCGCUGUAUCAGGAGAAGAAGGAUGAGGCCAAGCACCUGCAGGAGACGAUAAUGAGCCUGCGGGACGAACUGCGGGCUGCAAGAGGGCAGAGGCAACGAGUCGUCAGCAGCGGCCCGGGCGCGGGUAGCGGGAUGGGUAGCGCCAUCAGCACGCGGAGGUACGAGGCGUACGCUGCGCCGUAUGUGCCUUCUUCCGCGAAGCUGCGAAGGUCGUCACAUGAUGCGCCUGAAAGCUCCUCUUUCUCACCGCAGAUGAAGCCUCGACGAGUUGCUGCCAUCAAGAUGCCGAUCGGCGUACUGCGAGAAGAGGCUCGGCGCCUCGGAGCCCUGCCGGCGUCGUACUACCGGCCGCUUGUCAGGCGCGCAUCCCUGUCAAUGAGCUCUCUCUCCGCAUCAAGCAGUCCGGCGAACGCGGAACGGAAGCUGCGGAUUCAAGACCAGAAGCUUGAGGCAAGUGGCAAGCGCAGUGGCUCUGAGGAGGCGUCUGUGGCGUCUGCUGUUGUCGAAGUGCUCACAGUCGUCGGCAGCUCGAGUCACGCGUGCAGCCCGGCUGUGUCCGUCCGUCGAGCCGCACCGCGCCAGCUGGAGAGCGGCGGCACGUCGCCGUCGGCACAGUCGCCUCGGGCGGCGCUGAUACGCAAAGACAAGGCUCGACGCUCUGCUGCGCAGUCGCAGUCGCGGGUGCGUGACCCGAGACAGCGCUUAGAGACGACGCGUCAGAAGUGUAGCUCACGAACGGUUGUCUCCAGCUCGUCGUCCUCGUCAUGUAAAAGCGAGGUACUUCCCGCUGCCCGCGCGCUGAAGGUGGCAACGUUGAAGCGCGUCUUCGCAGCGGAGAGGGCGAGUAGCUCGGAGUCCUCAUCCUCGGCCUCCUCCGUAUCUGUACUCAGCCACACCAAGCCGCAGAGGGCGGCUGCCAAGCCCACAGCGACGACGGCGAAGCAGCAGCCCCAUCCGAAGGCAGUGCACAACUCCUUUGACGACUCCGACAACGAUUCGAGCGAAGCGGGAGCAGCAACGGUGCCAGAGAGCACUUUCGAUACGUCGCACCGACUUUCGACCUCAAAGCUGGCAGCAGCCGGUACGCCUGCCAAGACCGCCGUGUCCAGCAAGACGACCAUCUCGGCCGCCGCGGCGUCCAAGAACUCAAAGAAGCGACGCGCAAAGGCAGGGAGUGACAAUGACGCGUCGUCUGCCAACGUCAGCAUGUCGUCGCUCUCAUCUGUAGCUGUGAAGACCACAUACGGCGGCCUCAGCACCUCCGCGCGUACGAUCGAAAAUAAGGGCACAAGCGCCGCCUCCGCUAAGCCAACUCACAUGCGGAGGUCAUCCUUUGACGAGGACGACAACGACGACGGAGCCGAAGACAGCAGCAGCAGCUCCGACAACACCUUGACCACCCCGGCUCCUGCACCACGCGCCAAGGUCGGCUCGAGCACGGCAAGGGCCUCCACCGCGGCAACGAAGCCUUCAGCAGAAAAGCGAUCGGUUUCUGCCACCACCAACACUGCCCCUUCCACUUCCAGGUUCGGGGAGGCGGCAUCAAAAACAUCAUGUGCAAAGCCAGCCAAGCUGAAACUUCCCACGUGGUGAGUCCAAUGAAGAUGCGGGUGGUGGUGGUGCUGCUGCUGCCGCUGGAGGAGGGAAGGACGGGGGGAGGGAGGGGGCGCAAGACGUCAGAGAGGGUUGCCAGCGUAAGCGUAUACGUUUGCCUGCCAAACUUGUCGGAAAAGAGCAAGCGAGGAAGCGGGCGCCGCCCUUUCGCACGUGGAUCAGCUCCACUAUCACUCGAAGCAGGCCAGGGUUUACACCGCUCGAACGCACUACGACGUAUGGCAACCACUUGCGCGUGACACCUUAGAUUGGAGGAGGACGGAGUGGUUGGUGCUGGGCUAGGGGAGGGGUGGCGCGCGCAAUACACAGCUAGAAGCAGAAUGAGCGGCGGGCAUCUUCUGCUGGUGUGUGCAUGUUUCGCAUGAUAGAUUACCGCACCUGCGUGCUGCAUCCCCCUUCCCCUACAGCGGUCGUUCACGUGUCUAGACUAUGUGGUGGUGCCGGCGUGACUGUGGCUGUGGAUGGAGAAGGAUAUGCAUGUUCGUCUCCUUGUACCGAGAAGAGAGGGGGUCGAGGAGAGGGGGGGGGUGGAUUCAAUGACGUGCACUACUGGGAGAUGGUGCUCUUGCGGCCAGACGGGAGAGAACGAAAAGCCUCUGCCGCCUCCAUCGCGGCUGUGCGUAACUGUGAAAAACUUUCUUCUGUUGCUGCUGUGUGUUUACUUGUUUUUGAGUCUGUGUCGCUCGCCUUCUCUCUGCUGGCCUCGUGCGCGCGCUUAUCGCUGCUUGGCGGUUGCUCGACUAUAAAGAAUGCAGCGCAUCACCGCACGUUCCUCGCCUCCUCUAUGCACACCUAUGUAUCUAUGCGUGUGUCUGUGUAGAUGCACAUGGUUGUGGAUUUAUGCACCGUUUCCGUUGGUGCGUCUACACAUGUCAACCUGUCUUGCUUUAGAUGCUGAUGUGGCGUGUCGCUGGCUAGGUGUGCAUGUGUGUGAUGCUCAUCAGCUGCACAGCAUCGCCCGCCCCUCUUCCAUCCUUAGAAAUAUCGUCUCGGUGCUUGAUCUUCUCUCCGCCGAUCCUUUUCGUCGUCGGGCCAGGGAGGGGGAGGGAGAGGGUUCUUUGAUGCCGCUUGUUAGUUCGCUGUGCUCUUCGACGGGCCUCAUCCGCGCAUUACACGCUGCUGACUUCCGAAUUAUGUGGAUGCCUAACUCGCUUGCACACGGUCAGACGUCUACAUCUCAUGGCAUCUGUCCCUCUCUUCUGUUGCCUUUCUCGUCUUUUCAAG
rnacentral:misc_RNA from 1 species